UGAGGAAUCUUGCGCAAUGGGGGCAACCCUGACGCAGCAACGCCGCGUGAGUGAGGAAGGUCUUCGGAUCGUAAAGCUCUGUCGGAUGGAAAGAACCGCAUAGGGGCAAACAGCCCCUGUGUCUGACGGUACCGUCAAAGGAAGCACCGGCUAACUCCGUGCCAGCAGCCGCGGUAAUACGGGGGGUGCAAGCGUUGUUCGGAAUUAUUGGGCGUAAAGAGCGUGUAGGCGGCCGGAUAUGUCAGAUGUGAAAGCCCUGGGCUUAACCCAGGAAGUGCAUUUGAAACUGUCCGGCUCGAGUAGGGGAGAGGGAAGUGGAAUUCCUGGUGUAGAGGUUAAAUUCGUAGAUAUCAGGAGGAACACCGGUGGCGAAGGCGACUUCCUGGCCCUAUACUGACGCUGAGACGCGAGAGCGUGGGUAGCAAACA
rnacentral:rRNA from 1 species